rnacentral:rRNA from 1 species
CCAAUAGCGUAUAUUAAAGUUGUUGCAGUUAAAAAGCUCGUAGUUGAACUUCGGGAUUUACCCAUUGGUCAGGCUUAAUUGUCUGUACUGGUGAGAUAAAUCUCUACCUUCUGAGGAACUUUCAUGUCAUUAAUUUGGUGUGAUUGGAAAUCAGGACUGUUACUUUGAAAAAAUUAGAGUGUUUAAAGCAGGCUAACGUCUGAAUACAUUAGCAUGGAAUAAUGAAAUAGGACGGACUGAUUCUAUUUCGUUGGUUUCUAGGAUCACCGUAAUGAUUAAUAGGGAUAGUUGGGGGCAUUAGUAUUCAAUCGUCAGAGGUGAAAUUCUUGGAUUUAUUGAAGACUAACUACUGCGAAAGCAUUUGCCAAGGAUGUUUUCAUUAAUCAAGAACGAAAGUUAGGGGAUCGAAGACGAUCAGAUACCGUCGUAGUCUUAACCAUAAACUAUGCCGACUAGGGAUCGGACGAAGUUAAUUUUAUAAUGACGCGUUCGGCACCUUACG